AAUCGAACUCGGAGAUAGCUGGUUCUCCUCGAAAUAGCUUUAGGGCUAGCCUCGAGCUGGAGUCUAACGGAGGUAAAGCACUGAACUGACGCGGGGCCCAAAAAGGUUACCAACUCAUAUCAAACUAAGAAUGCCGUCAAGAUACCCUCGGGAGUCAGUCUGCGUGAGAUAAGUCGCGUGGACAAAAGGGAAAGAGCCCAGACCGACAGCUAAGGUCCCAAAGUACGUGUUAAGUGGAAAAGGAUGUGGGAUUUCAUAGACAACUAGGAUGUUGGCUUAGAAGCAGCCAUACAUUUAAAGAGUGCGUAAUAGCUCACUAGUCGAGAAAACCUGCGCCGAAAAUGUAACGGGGCUAAAACACGACACCGAAGCUACGGAUUUCCUACAAGGUAGGAAGUGGUAGAGGAGCAUCCUGCAAGGACGAAGCCAAAGUGAGAGCGAUGGUGGACGAAACAGGAGAGAGAAUGCCGGAAUGAGUAGCGAGAUACAUGUGAGAAACAUGUAGGCCGAAUAUCUAAGGAUUCCUGGGUAAAGCUAAUCUUCCCAGGGUUAGUCGGGGCCUAAGGCGAGGACGAAAGUCGUAGUCGAUGGAUAACAGGUUGAUAUUCCUGUACUACACAUAAUCAGAACUGUGGGGACGCAGGAGGAUAGGGAAACCGGGGAAUGGAAAGACCCGGUCAAGCGUAAAGCUGUGGGAGAUAGGCAAAUCCGUCUCCUGUAAGUGAAACGUGAUGAGGACUGAAAAAAAGUAAGGAAGUUUCCGAAUCCACACUGCCGAGAAAAGCCGCUAUUGCGUUAUGUGUACCCGUACCGUAAACCGACACAGGUAGAUGAGGAGAAAAUCCACAGGCCGACGGGAGAAGUGUUGUUAAGGAACUCGGCAAAAUGACCCCGUAACUUCGGGAUAAGGGGAGCCUCGCAAGAGGCCGCAGAAAAGAGGCACAAGCAACUGUUUAGCAAAAACAUAGGUCUAUGCGAAACCGUAAGGUGAAGUAUAUGGGCUGACGCCUGCCCGGUGCUGGAAGGUUAAAAGGAGAGGUCAGCGCAAGCGAAGCUUUGAAUUCAAGCCCCAGUAAACGGCGGCCGUAACUAUAACGGUCCUAAGGUAGCGAAAUUCCUUGUCAGGUAAGUUCUGACCCGCACGAAAGGCGUAAUGAUUUGUGCACUGUCUCGACAACACGCCCGGUGAAAUUGAAGAACCAGUGAAGAUACUGGUUACCCGCAACAGGACGGAAAGACCCCAUGGAGCUUUACUGCAGCCUGAUACUGGGAUUCGAUGAUAUAUGUACAGGAUAGGUGGGAGGCUAAGAAGCGAGAACGCUAGUUUUCGUGGAGCCGCCGGUGGGAUACCACUCUUAUGUCAUUGAAUUUCUAACCUGCAUCCGUAAUCCGGGUGAGGGACAAUGUCAGGCGGGCAGUUUGACUGGGGCGGUCGCCUCCUAAAAGGUAACGGAGGCGCUCGAAGGUCACCUCAGAAUGAUUGGAAACCAUUCAAAGAGUGUAAAGGCAAAAGGUGGCUUGACUGCGAGAGCGACGGCUCGAGCAGGUACGAAAGUAGGACUUAGUGAUCCGGUGGUAAUAAGUGGGAAUGCCAUCGCUCAACGGAUAAAAGCUACCCUGGGGAUAACAGGCUUAUCACUCCCAAGAGUUCACAUCGACGGAGUGGUUUGGCACCUCGAUGUCGGCUCAUCGCAUCCUGGGGCUGUAGUAGGUCCCAAGGGUUGGGCUGUUCGCCCAUUAAAGCGGUACGCGAGCUGGGUUCAGAACGUCGUGAGACAGUUCGGUCCCUAUCCGUUGUGGGCGCAGGAAAUUUGAGAGGAGCUGUCCUUAGUACGAGAGGACCGGGAUGGACGUACCUCUGGUGUACCGGUUGCAGACCAACUGCACAGCCGGGUAGCUAUGUAUGGAACGGAUAAACGCUGAAGGCAUCUAAGCGUGAAGCCGCCCUCAAGAUAAGAUUUCCCAUUCU
rnacentral:rRNA from 1 species